rnacentral:rRNA from 1 species
GUCCAGACUCCUACGGGAGGCAGCAGUGGGGAAUAUUGCACAAUGGGGGAAACCCUGAUGCAGCGACGCCGCGUGAGCGAUGAAGUAUUUCGGUAUGUAAAGCUCUAUCAGCAGGGAAGAAGAUGACGGUACCUGACUAAGAAGCCCCGGCUAACUACGUGCCAGCAGCCGCGGUAAUACGUAGGGGGCAAGCGUUAUCCGGAUUUACUGGGUGUAAAGGGAGCGUAGACGGCGAUGCAAGCCAGAUGUGAAAGCCCGGGGCUCAACCCCGGGACUGCAUUUGGAACUGUGUGGCUGGAGUGUCGGAGAGGCAGGCGGAAUUCCUAGUGUAGCGGUGAAAUGCGUAGAUAUUAGGAGGAACACCAGUGGCGAAGGCGGCCUGCUGGACGAUGACUGACGUUGAGGCUCGAAAGCGUGGGGAGCAAACAGGAUUAGAUACCCUCGUA